CUAGGGAGCCUUAAUGUUGGGUGAACACGUGAGAAAGUCAAGUUAUUCAAGCAACGUGAGUGGGUUUUAAUAAAAAGUUCAAAAAGGGGCCAGUCAUGAGGAGAACCACGCGGUGCGGCCCAGAGACACCAUCCUGCCCCUUCCCUUCCCUCAGAAAUCAUAGAGAAGAGGGCUGAAGCAAAUCACAAGACGCACUUGGCAACACUGCACAGCCGGAUCUGGGAUCCCAAGGAACUACUGUUACUGGAUUUAAAGAAUGACUGCAUUUUAGUAUGUGGUUCUGACAAAGGUAUACACAAGCCAUGUCACAUACUGAUGAGAAAUAAAUAAUAAAAGAUACAUCUAAUACAGCUUUUAUUUAUUCAUUUAUUUUACAGCACUGACUUUACAAGAGGAUAAACAACUCAUUCUUAGGGGUUGCUAACAUCUGAAACAAAGAAGUCACUAUUUUAUACUCAACAUAUACUCAACCUUUUAAUAACUUUAUAUAAGUAUAUAUGACUUUUCACACAAAAAAUGUUAAAAUAAUUUAUAUCUGAAAACUACUGUGUAAAGAAUGAAGGAGGAAAUAAAAAGUGGGUUUCUUUAAAAAGGAUGGAAGAG
rnacentral:lncRNA from 1 species